GGGGGUUAUAAUAUUUCCCUUAUUUGGAUUACUUGGUGCCUGAUAUCAAUUUGAGGCAAAUGGGCCGCUUCAUCUCCUCAGAGCUAGCUUUGUGUAAUCCUUUUUCCACUUGCUCUUUUACCAAAAUAAAUGGCUUUCUUUGCUUUGGUCAGCAGUGAGCAGAUGAACUUGAAUUUAUGAACCUAGGUAAUCAGUAACAUCAGUAAGAGGCAUGAAGAGGUUUAUCAGGAAAAAAAUUUUUUUUUUUGGUAUCAGGGAUUGAACUUGGCUCUUUGUGCAUUGGAGGCAGGCACCAGAUCCACUGAGCUAAAUCCCCGGCUAUCAGGAAUAAUCUUAAAGAGAUCAGAGAGAACAGUGUUGGCCCUUGGAAAGAGAGCGUCAGACAGAACAAUUGCACCGCGACUGCAGGUGGAUCGGGGCCCAUACACGGCACCAGCUCAAUUACCAGGUGAGGGCGCAGUCGUGAAGACGAUGCAGUGUGGCGAUCACAGCGUGGUCGAGGUGCUAAACCAACCAGUCCUGAGCCCUAUUCCCAGCACGGCACCUGCCUUCCCCGUCCACCCAACGGAGGCUCAGGUUCAAAGGAGCUGGGCGUGGCAGCUGCCUUCCGCCCUCCCUGCCCGCAGCUCGCCUCCACUGCACCGAGUUGGAGACUCUGAGCUCUAGGAAUGGGCUCUGGUCUGAGAACUCAGUGGCUUCCCACCCUGUCUGAGGCCCUGGAAUCGCCCAGGGGAACACUUCAGGGCCACAGCACCGACCCCGGCUGUGAAGGGAAGCCAGGCUGGAGAAGCUAUUUCAAGCCGUUAUCUCUUCCUGGCCAUGGUAACGAGUUAGAGUAAGCAGGCCGGAGGGGUUAAAGCCAGGUCAUUCCCAGCCACAGCUGAUGGAAACAGGCACAAGGCUUACUCUAGACCAACGUGAGUGGAAGUGUUUCGGGACUUUAGAGAAAGACUAUUCUUCCUCUGUCCCCCUCUCCAAGACUCCUACUGGCUGACUUUAUGGGAUGACUGCUCAGAUGUGAGGCCUGGAGCUGCUGCAGCCAUUUCGCCACCACAAAGGAAGCAGCUUCAGGAAGAUACAAAGACUGCAGCGGACAGAACCAAAAGAGGAAAGAAAAACAAAACAGAACAAAAUAGGGCCCCUGAUAGUACCACUGGCCUCUAAACAAAACAAACCCUCAAACUCAUCUUACCUCUGGACUUUCCAGUAGCUGAAGCCAAUUUGAUUUGAUCUUCCAACGAUCCGCAACCUA
rnacentral:lncRNA from 1 species